GACGAACGCUGGCGGCGUGCCUAAUACAUGCAAGUCGAACGCUUCUUUCCUCCCGAGUGCUUGCCCUCAAUUGGAAAGAGGAGUGGCGGACGGGUGAGUAACACGUGGGUAACCUACCCAUCAGAGGGGGAUAACACUUGGAAACAGGUGCUAAUACCGCAUAACAGUUUAUGCCGCAUGGCAUAAGAGUGAAAGGCGCUUUCGGGUGUCGUUGAUGGAUGGACCCGCGGUGCAUUAGCUAGUUGGUGAGGUAACGGCUCACCAAGGCGACGAUGCGUAGCCGACCUGAGAGGGUGAUCGGCCACACUGGGACUGAGACACGGCCCAGACUCCUACGGGAGGCAGCAGUAGGGAAUCUUCGGCAAUGGACGAAAGUCUGACCGAGCAACGCCGCGUGAGUGAAGAAGGUGUUCGGAUCGUAAAACUCUGUUGUUAGAGAAGAACAAGGACGUUAGUAACUGAACGUCCCCUGACGGUACCUAACCAGAAAGCCACGGCUAACUACGUG
rnacentral:rRNA from 1 species